UUUUUGGCUGUGUUGGGUCUUCACUGCUGCGUGGGCUUUUCUCUACUUGCAGCAAGCAAGGGCUACUCUCGUUGUGGCUCGCAGGCUUCUCAUUGUGGUAGCUUCUCUCGUUGUGGAACAUGGGCCCUAGGGUGUGUGGGCUUCAGUAGCUGUGGCUCCAGGCUCCAGAGCACAGGCCCAGUAGUUGUGGUGCAUGGGUUUAUUUGCCCCAUGGCAUGUGGGAUCAACCCAGACCAAGGAUGAAACCCAUGUCUCCCACAUUGGCAGGUGGAUUCUUUACCACUGAGCCACCAGAGAAGCCCUACCAUGCAUUAUUCACUGACUCUUCCAGGAAGUCUGUAACCUAGUUACCUGGUCAUAGGUCUCAGUACACAUGAGAUGGUAAUUAUAGACCCAAAGAGCAGGUGAUCAAUACCACAGGUGCAGUCAGCCAGUAAGGGUCCUGAUGUUGUUCGUCCUGAGAUUAUGUGCCCAAUGCACAGUGAGUCCAACAGACCGAAAUGCCAGGGUUUGGUGCAGCGAAAGGUUUAUUGCAGGGCCAUGCAACAAUGGGCAGUUUGUGCUCAAAAGACCUGAACUCCCCAAGGGAAGUGUGUGUAAAGGCAACAUUUGAGGGGAGGGCUGCAGGGUGCAUGACCUUCUUCUGAUUGGCUGGUGGUGAGGUAACAGGGCGAUGCUUCUGGAAUCUUAAUCAUCAGCCUUCUGGUUCCAACCAGUCUGGGGCCUGCAUGCUUGUGGUCAGCAGGUACGUGGAAGACCUCAUGUCAGCCUCCCUGCCAUUAGAGGGGGCGGUGUGACUGGUCCUGACAUGAUGUGUCGCUUCUGGUCUGCACCACAGAUGUGAGCGCUCCAAGCAAACUCGCCUCUCACAUAGGCCACAGGCCACCUCGAGGCGGGCAAAGCCUCUGUGAGCCUGAGUGACUCUGGGCAAAACACGAGUCCUACACACCCACUGACCUGGGCUGCAUCUUCACUACAAACAAGAAACCUGGGUUUGUUGAAGGAUUUUUGUUCUGCAGCCUAACUUGGCCUAUUCUGACGAAUACAGCCAAUGACCACUUACAAGGGGACGACAAAGGCUUGCAUACGUUAUAAGACACACAAAUGCUCCACUGUGUGACUGUCCUGUGGCCUCAUCACAUUAGUCAGGCAGGAUCUAAAGGUCAAAAGCCCCUUGGGGGAGGCUGCCCGCCUGCAGGUUCACUUGUGUGAGAGCUGGAGCAGUGAGUCAGUGCCCGCUGCACUGCGAGUUGGAACGUGGAAGAGCAUCAGGAGAAUACGCAAGACACGCGGUGAAACAGCGUCACCAUCACAUUCUCGGAGCCCUGUCCUCGAUUGAUCUGUGUUUAAAUGUUUAAAACGCACCCUAUUUCAUUUUUAGGUUUUGAAGUGACAGGUUGACAUUUGCAAGAAGGAGCACCAUCUGUGGCUCGUCGCGUUUGCAGUGUGCAUCGGGGUGGCGCCCACUGCACACCUCCCAGGACACCCUGUUUCUCCUCCACAGACAGCAUUUGGCCAGAUACGACAGGCCUUCGGGCAGGGGCAGGAAGAAUCUAUUGUUUGGCAGCGCCUCCAAAUUUACCUCCUCCAAAAAUUCCACUUGUUUUUGGUUCCUGCCUUGGCAGCAAAUUUUACUAGGAUGGGUACCAUAUGCUCUAGUGUUUCUGAAACCAUCCCAGUUUCUAACAUUUUGCUUGUCUCUGUAACCCAUUAAAAUACCCCAGAAAUUCCAAUAUUAUAGCAUACAAACAACAUCUAUCAGACAGCUUUUCAACCCUAUGAACUAUAGCCCACCAGGCUCCU
ensembl:lncRNA